AACGAACGCUGGCGGCAUGCCUAACACAUGCAAGUCGAACGAGACCUUCGGGUCUAGUGGCGCACGGGUGCGUAACGCGUGGGAACCUGCCCUUAGGUUCGGAAUAACUCCCCGAAAGGGGUGCUAAUACCGGAUAAUGUCUUCGGACCAAAGAUUUAUCGCCUUUGGAUGGGCCCGCGUUGGAUUAGCUAGUUGGUAGGGUAAAAGCCUACCAAGGCGACGAUCCAUAGCUGGUCUGAGAGGAUGAUCAGCCACACUGGGACUGAGACACGGCCCAGACUCCUACGGGAGGCAGCAGUGGGGAAUAUUGGACAAUGGGCGAAAGCCAGAUCCAGCAAUGCCGCGUGGGUGAUGAAGGCCUUAGGGUUGUAAAGCUCUUUUACCCGGGAUGAUAAUGACAGUACCGGGAGAAUAAGCUCCGGCUAACUCCGUG
rnacentral:rRNA from 1 species